AGCAUUUGUAGUGAAAAAAUAAUAUAUAAAAAAAAAAAAAAAAUUUUAAACAAUUUAUUUUUUUUUUAAAUGUUUAUGCUCACAUAUGUACAUGUACCUUUUGCGAGUUAUACACUUGGUUAUUGUAUUAAAUAAAUUUAUGACUGCAUGAACUUUUUUUUUUUUUUUUUUUUUUUUUCAUAAACAUACACACGUACAUAUAUAUGUUUGUAUAUGAAAUAUUUUUCCCUUCCCCCUUUUUUUUUUUUUUUUUUUCUUUUUUUUUUUUUGCUGUUCCUUAUUUAUAAUAAAAACAAAUGGAUGGGGAAAUGGUAGUAAGAAGGUCUACUAGACUAGUUCAAAAUACCGAACUAAAGAAAGUUGUAAAUUACACCUUAACCCAUAAAUCGAGUGAAGAGGAUAGAUCGGACGAUAAAGAAAAAAAAGGAAACAAAAAAAAAAAAAAUAAUAAUAAUAAUAAUAAUAAUAAUAAUAGUAAUAACAACGAGGAGGAUAGUGAGAUUAGUACUGAUGAAGCGGAUUCAUAUGAAGACAGUGAUUAUUUAGAGAGCUCAAAUACUGUUGAUAAAGAUAUUGAUAGCGAAUCUGCAAGUUAUGAAGACGCGUCAGUAGAAGGAGGUGCACAAAAAAAAAAACAAAAUAAGUAUAGUGGCAGGAAUAGUAACUAUAAAAAGAAAAAUAAUAAAGCAAAAAAAAACAAGAUUUCAACAAACAGUAAUGAUAAAAAUAAAGAUACACAGAACGAAAAUGAGAAACUUAGUUACAAAAAUAAUGCUUCAAAAAAUAAUAGUUAUAUAGAUAAGCUAAACAAAGAUGUAGAUGAUGAAGAUUUUGACAUUUUCAAAAAAAAAGAUGAUAAAAAACAGGGAAAUAAUAAUAAAAGAAUAUCAACAAAUAUACGAAAUAACAGUAAAAUAAAUUCUAAAAAACGAAAAAGCACAUAUGAUGAAUAUGAUAGUAGUAGUAAUAAUAGUAACAGUAGUGGUAGUGAGAACGACUCUUUAAAUGAUAGUGAUAACGAAUACACAAGUAAAAAUAAUAAAGCAUCAAAAAAAUUAAAAAAGAAUAACACUACGAUUAGUAAUAUGCCUCUAAACAAUAAGAAUAAACUACAGAUGAAUAAAGAUUUUGAUGAUUUUAAUUUAUAUGAGAAAAUAAAAAAGAGUUCUAAAAAUAUACAUGAUAUAAUAGAACAAAUAUAUUAUAAUUUAUUUAAUGGUGAAGAACGUAAUGGAAAAGUUAAGAUAUCUAGUUUUUUUUUAAAUUUUUUAGCCGAAUGUUCAGGAAAUGAAUCGCUUACUUGGACUAUUGAUAUAAUUGAUUAUAUAGAUAAGCAAAUAUAUUUGUAUGAAGAAAUUAAUGCUAAUAAUAAAUUAGAUGAUUCAUUUUUAGUUAAUAAUAAUAAUAAUAAUAGUAAUAAUAAUAGUAAUAAUAAUAAUAGUAAUAAUAAUAAUAAUAGUAAUAAUAAUAGUAGUAGAACCAUACAUAAUAAUGUAUCGGUUCAAAUGGAAUUAAUUACACCGUCUACUGUCCAAUCAAGUCGUAAUAAAAUAACAAAUAUUAACGACAUAAUAAAAGAUGCAAUUAAUUUUGAAAAGGUAUGUACAUUUAAAUGUGAUAAAUUAGAACAAUAUUUAACCUCCGAUUUGGAUAAUGAUGUUUUGAUAAAAUAUAAAAAUGAAAAUAAUAAAUCUUAUAAAACGUUUUGUAAUUUCUUUAUUGACUUUUCUUAUCAUUUUGAUGAAAAUUAUAUAAAUGAUGUUUUAUACACAUUUAUAUGGAUAUUUGCAUUAAGUGUUACUAAGUAUAGAAAAAUACGAUUUACUGCUUCUUUGGCUAGUUUUUGUAUAUUGUUAGGAUUAUGUAAAAAAAUCAAUUAUAUCAAUAACCAUGAAAAGCAGUCUAGAAAGCAACUGUUAGCUGAAUAUAUAAGAGAAAGGACAAACACAAAAAUGCUUAUGCAAAGAAGAAAUAGUAGUAACGUAGAUAACCCUAAGGAUAACAUGAGUAAAAGUGAUAAACAUAAUGUAGACAUCGAAGAGCUAAUCAUAUGUAACAAAAACAGAAAUAACGAUGAAAUGUGCUCAAUAAUAGACAGAAAUUUGAUAGUCACACAAUUAAUUAAUAAUAUAAAUGAAGACAGAAAGAAUUUAACCAUAUUAAAUAAUUUUCUUUUAUGUACAUAUAAUGUACUCUACAAAAAUAAAAUAAAAGAUGUGUUUUUAGAUAUACGUAUUAUUACAUUAACGCAUUAUUACUAUUAUUUAGAAGUGCUUACUGUUUAUUUUAUUAACAGAAAGUUUACAAAAUUAUUAAUAUGGAUACUAUAUGAUAAAGAUAACAAAGUUAAACUAUGCUGUUUAGAUGUACUUAUUUAUUUAUGUAAUUAUUAUAAUAGCACAAGUAAUAAUAAUAAUAAUAAUAACAAUAGUAAUAGCAAUUUUAAAAUUGUUGAAUUAUUAUACUUAUGUAAAAAAAAAUUAAUAAAUCUUAUUUUUGAUGUAGAUUAUAAUGUAAGACUAAAAACUUUUGAGUUACUUUUACGAAUGAGUAGAAUGAAAAUUAAUAAAUUAGAAUUUGAAAAUUUUAAAAAAAAUAUUAAAAAAAAUAAUUACAUAAGCCAUAACAAAGCAGAUGGUAAAAACGACGCUUCAUCAAGUAGUUCUUCUUCAGAAUAUAAUGACAUGACUAAUGAUGAUAUGUCCUAUAAUGAAAAGGCAAAUAUUAAUAAAAAAAACGAAAAAAACGAAAAAAACGAAAAAAACAAAAAAAACAAUCAAAGUAUGUUACUAUAUAACAACCGUAAAAAAAAACAAACGAUUAAUAGUAUUAAUUCAAACAGCAGUAGUGACAAUACAACUAUAAGCAUAUUGUCAAAUAAAACGAAAAAAAUUAUUAGUAAUUUAAUAUGGUUUAACAAUAAUACAAAUAUAUCAAACAUCAUAACAACGUUAAUAUAUGAAUCUCAUUUUAAGAACAAAAUAAAAGAAACUGGAGACAAAAAAAAAAGAUCAAGUAUAUUUUUUAAUGUAGAACCAAAUGAAACUACUAUUAAUAAUGAAAUAGCUAAAUAUAAUAUAAUAUUUGUUACUCACUAUUUAAAUACAAAUAUACCUAGUGUGAAAAAUUUUGUGCAUUAUUUUGAUUAUCUCCAUAAAUAUAAUGAAAAUAUGAAAUUACAUACUGUUAUUGAUAAAUUUAUUACAGGAAUGAGAAACAAAAUAGACGCUCUUAAUUAUGUAGAUGUUAUAAUUGAAUUGUUAUGUGAAAAUGACAUAGCAACGUUGUCGUACAAUUUCAGGCAUGCUGGUCAAUUCAGUGGGAGUAGUAAUCAACUGGCUCCAACGGGGCAACACAUAUCAAUCGUAAAUAAUGAUAAUGAUAAAAAAAAGAAGAAACAGGAGGAAAGCGAAAAUGUUAGAAAAAAUCGUGUACAUAGAAAAACUAACCAAGGGGUUAAGGAUAGUGUUCGUAGAAGCGGUGGCUCUAACAAUGACAGCGGAAACGACAGCGGAAAUGACAGCGGAAAUGACAGCGGAAAUGACAGCGGAAAUGACAGCGGAAAUGACAAGCACAACCACAACCACAACCACAACCACAACCAUGAUGCGUCAUCGUCCAAUAUCGAGUCCGAACUCCGAAUUUGCUUACUAUACUUAUGCGAAUCAGCUUACCGCAAUUUUCAAAAAGACAUAAACGAAAUCGAAAAAAAUAAGAAUAAAAAAACAGGAGCAGUUAGUAAUAUGAAUAAUGCUUUUUUAGAUAAAAAUACUGCAUAUAAUGAAAAACUAAAAAAUGAUAAUAAUAAAAUAAAACGAAUGAUUUUGUAUACGUUGAGUAUAAUAAAAAAUAGUAAGUUACUUAUAAAAUUACAUCAAACAAAUCAAGAACAUUUAUUACUUGUGUAUAAAAUAUUAAAACUUGCAUUAUCUGAAUGUAUACAUAUAUACAAGAAUGAUGAAAAAAACAAUGUAUAUAAUUUAAGUUACACCGUAUUAGAAUAUUUUGAAAAUGAUAUUGACAGUAAUAUAAAUUUUUUUAUUAACAAUGUUUUUGUAUAUAUAAAAGAAACAUACGAAUAUUUAUUUUAUUUGAUAAAAAAUUAUAAAUUACCUUACUAUUCAGCUAAAUAUACCAUAAAUAUGAUAUCAUUAUUUUUAUCUUUAAACGAUUAUUUUAAAAGUAACAAAUUAUCAAUCGAUUUAUUUUUCGAUUUAUAUUACAAUUAUUUUAAUAAUUAUCUUGAUACAUUUUUAUAUUAUCUUAACAAUUACACUACCGAAAUUGAGUUCGACGAAGAAGAUCAGACAAAGUAUAUACCAAAUGGUGAUUUAAUGGUAACCAUUAUUAAUGAAAACUUAGCUCAAACAGACAGAAAUAUAACAGAAUCCAUCGAAAAUGAUUUAAUUUUAUAUACAACUAACUUAAUUCAUAUGUACACUUUAUGUUGUAAUUAUAUAAAUAAUAACUUAUCAAAUUAUGUUGAAAAAAAAAAUGAAAUUAUGAAAAAAAUUAACAAAACGAUUAACAAAAUGAUUGAAAUAGAUUAUUUUAAAUUUAUUUCCAGUGAAGAGAGUCAAGCAAUAUUUAAAAAUGAUUAUUUAUUGAAUGACAUCUUUGAUGACACUCGAAUGAUAUAUCAUCACGACCAACAGUUAUAUCCAAAUGGUAGUGAUGUGGACAAUUUGGAAAAUGAAAAAAUGGGUAAGAAGGGUGGUGCGAAUACCAUCAAUAAUAGUAGCAACUACUAUAAUAAAAAUGAUACCGAUGAUAUGACAGGUAGAAAUAAACAACGGUUGAUUAAGCAAGACCAACAUAACAUUGAUAGUGGUAAAAAAAAAAAAAAUAAUAACGUAGAUGGAAACAGUAGUAAAAACAAAAGCAGUGACGAUAUUAACUUUCUUAAAAAUACUUUCCCUUUUUUAAACAAUGAUAAUAGUAGUAUUGAUCAUACUUUGGAUUUAAAAAAAUAUAUACACUCAUUGUAUUACAGUGUAGAUGCAUGUGUGCAUGCAAAUGUACUUAUACAAUUAUGUUUUUACAUAAUAAAAAUGAAGGUUAAUUCAAUUCAAUAUUAUAAAGGAACAAAUGCGAACGAAGAUGAAGACAAUGAAAAUGACGUUGAAGCUAAUGAAAGUGUAAGUGAGAAUGUAAACAAUGAAGAGCACAAACACAGACAACGAGGGGCACGGGCACGGGUACGGGUACGGGAUAAGGCUAAAUCGAAAGCUGCAAUUAACACACCAUCCUCCAGGUUGCUAUUAUUAUGUAUCGACCAAAUAUAUAUCAUAUACGAAAAUUAUGUUUAUCAGUUAUGUAAAAAAAGACAUUUCUUUAACUAUGUUUAUGGCUAUUUCAUGCAAUUCUAUAGCAAAAGUGAUGAUAAUAUGGAUAAUAUGGAUAAUGGGGUAGAAAAAGGAGCGGAAAAGGGAACAAGUGGUGGAACAAGUGGUGGAACAAAUGGUGGAGCAAAUGGUGAAGCAAAUGGUGGAACAAAUGGUGGAGCAAAUGGUGAAGCAAAUGGUGGAACAAAUGGUGGAACAAAUGGUGAAGCAAAUGGUGAAGCAAAUGGUGAAGCAAAUGGUGAAGCAAAUGGUGAAGCAAAUGGUGAAGCAAAUGGUAGGGCAGAGAAAGGAAUAGAAAAUGCAACAAAAACCGGAGCAAACGCCGAGAAAAACAAUAACUAUAACAUAAACUUGGAAGAUCUGAAAAAUUUGAACAAGCUAAAUGAAAAAAAAGUUAACAUAUUAAAAAAUUUAUUUAUCGAACUAAAUUAUUUAUAUAUUAACACCAUAAUUUUAAGAAAUGACAUGAACGAACGAUUAACAUUCUUAAUAAAAUGUUCGAAUAACACCAUUCUGAAAUAUGCAACUUUUAUAAAUUUAAUGAGUAUCGCUCAACUAGAAAAUGUAAUUUUAUUUACUAUAGAAGAUUUUGAAAGAUAUCGCACAUUAGAAUGUUUUUUAAACGCAUAUGAUAAAAAAGAAGAAAUGGAUGAAAUUUAUUUAUUAGAUGAUAUUAUAAAUUCACCUAAAGAGAUAAAAAAAUUUAUAAACAAAUUUUUAGAUAUGGAUAUUGAACUGAACCAAUAUAAAAGAGUAUAUAGAUAUAAAUAUGAUGAUGAUAAUAUAUUAUUUAAUUUUGUAACUGAAUUAUUUAAAAGUGUGGAAAAUAUAAAUAACGAUCAUUAUAAUUUUGUUAACUCUUUUUUAUCAAUUGAUAUGGGUGUGUUUUUUCCUAUUAACACAUAUACCUACAUUGCUGAUAUGUGUAGAAUAUAUAACAAAGAUACGUUAAGUAUGAAUAGUAAAAUUUUGGAAACGCAAUAUAUGCAUAUGACUUUAAUAGCUGCACAAUUUAUUCUUAAUUGUAAUAAUAUAAAUAUUUUUAACAGUAAUUUAGGUGUACUGUUAUUAAUACAUUUGAAUGUAAAAAAUAAAGGCUUAUCCAACGUUGCUUUAAGUUUCCAUAAUAAAUUAAAAAAAUAUAAUAUUAACACAUUUUAUGAUGUGCUUUUAUAUUCAUUAAAUGGACUAUAUAGAGCAUACAUUAGUAAUGUUUUAGAAGAAAAAGAUUUAUUGUUAUUUACUACAUGUGUAGCAAAUCGUUUAGGAGUAAAAAUUGUAGACAAACAGAAGUUACCUUUAUGCAAGUUUAUUCUUUCUUGUGUUAAUUGUGCAUUAAAUUUUAAAACACAAAAUAAUUUUAUGAAAUAUAUUUUACCCUAUGCUCAAAAAUUAACUCUUACUGAUCAUCAACUAAAAUAUUUAAAAAAAGAAAUAUUGAAUUAUAUUAAUACGUAUAAUGUAGCUAACCAUACUAGUAUCAAAUAUGAAAAUAGCAUCUUUGAACAUAUGAUACUUAUUAUUGCAAAAAAGAGAAAACUCAGUGACCAAUUUAAAGAAAGCAACUAUGAAAAUGCAUAUAUGAACUUAAACGAAUCGAUACAUAUGAAUAUAAGUAAAGAUGUUACAAAACAUAUACACAAUCAAAAUAUAAAUAAAAAUACAUUAUCAAAUGGACCUGAUUUAAAAACGACUAGGAGUUCAAAAGAUUUGUAUACAAAUACAUACAACAACAGAAGCGGUAGUAAAGGUAACGAUCACACAAUCAACCAACACACAAACAUAGACAAAACAAACUUAACUCAUUCUAAUAAUAUGCAUCAAUCUAGUUUUAAUAAACAUAGGAAUGACGAAAAACGGAGUCAAACAGAGGGAAUAGCAAAAAUAGAAAUUCUCGAUUCAGAUAAUGAACAAAACACUAGUGACAAUAAUAAUAAUAAUAAUAAUAAUAAUAAUAAUAAUAAUAAUAAUAAUGGUAUACAUCAUAAUCAAAAUAAACACUCAGAUAAUACAAAACAUAAGACAAAAUACUCCAGUAAGAAAAACACAUAUGAAGAUGAACCAAAUGUAUACAAUUCUACGUUAGAUAACUUUAUAACUUUAGAUGAAGAUGAUGAUGAUGUUAAUAUUGUAGAAGAAAUACAAAAUAAUGUUCAUGCUCAUAAACUUACGGAUAAUAAUUGUAACAACAGUACCAACAAUGACAAAAACCAACUAAAUAAUAAUAAUAAUAAUAAUAACAAUGUUGUUUAUACUAUAGAUCCUAGUCCUGUGCCUAUAAGGGCUAAUAAAUUAAAAUAUAUACGUCCAUUAAUAAAAGAAGAAACAGAUAGUAGCACCACCAAUGCUAAUCAUAAUGAUUAUUUACAUAAAUCAUUAAAUUUAUCUAAUAAAAAUUCAACGGUAUAUAACUUGAAUAGCUUAUUGCCAAAUAAUAGCGACAGUGGAGAUCAUAGCAGCGAUAAAGACUUAGAUGAUGUAUAUAUUAUUACAGAAAAGAAAAUGAAAAAAAAAUAUGGUAAUAAAAAUGAUGAUUAUGAUGAUAUCAGUUCUGAUAUUAUACCCGCUAUGUCACCUAUAAAAAAAAAACAAACAGAACAAAGUGAAGCGUCUACUCCUAUUUCUUAUGCAGACGACUUGAUGAAUUUUUGAGUUGUCAAAAAGAGAAGCAUAAAAACUAGUAAAAAUAAGUAGUAAAAAUAAGUAGUAAAAAUAAGUAAUAAACAUAAGUAAUAAACAUAAGUAGUAAAAAUA
rnacentral:lncRNA from 1 species